UACGGGAGGCAGCAGUGGGGAAUAUUGCACAAUGGGCGCAAGCCUGAUGCAGCCAUGCCGCGUGUAUGAAGAAGGCCCUUUGGGUUGUAAAGUACUUUCAGUCGUGAGGAAGGUGUUAAGGUUAAUAACCUUAGCAAUUGACGUUAGCGACAGAAGAAGCACCGGCUAACUCCGUGCCAGCAGCCGCGGUAAUACGGAGGGUGCGAGCGUUAAUCGGAAUUACUGGGCGUAAAGGGCACGCAGGCGGUUAAUUAAGUUGGAUGUGAAAUCCCCGGGCUUAACCUGGGAAUGGCAUUCAAGACUGGUUAGCUAGAGUCUUGUAGAGGGGGUAGAAUUCCAUGUGUAGCGGUGAAAUGCGUAGAGAUGUGGAGGAAUACCGGUGGCGAAGGCGGCCCCUGGACAAAGGACUGACGCUCAUGUGCGAAAGCGUGGGGAGCAAAC
rnacentral:rRNA from 1 species